rnacentral:rRNA from 1 species
CCUACGGGAGGCAGCAGUGGGGGAUAUUGGACAAUGGGGGAAACCCUGAUCCAGCGACGCCGCGUGAGUGAAGAAGUACUUCGGUAUGUAAAGCUCUAUCAGCAGGGAAGAAAGAAAUGACGGUACCUGAGUAAGAAGCCCCGGCUAACUACGGGCCAACAGCCGCGGGAAUACGGAGGGGGCAAGCGUUAUCCGGAAUUACUGGUUGUAAAGGUAGCGUAGACGGUAAUGCAAGUCUGAAGGGAAAGGCGGGGGCCCAAACCCCGGACUGCUCUGGAUACUGUGUAACUGGAGUGGAGGAGAGGCAGGCGGAAUUCCUGGGGUAGCGGUGAAAGGCGUAGAUAUUACGAGGAACACCGAUGGCGAAGGCGGCAUGCUGGACUGUAACUGACGUUGAGGCACGAAAGCGUGGGGAGCAAACAGGAUUAGAUACCCGGGUAGUC